rnacentral:rRNA from 1 species
GCGGCGGACGGGUGAGUAAUGCUUGGGAACAUGCCUUGAGGUGGGGGACAACAGUUGGAAACGACUGCUAAUACCGCAUAAUGUCUACGGACCAAAGGGGGCUUCGGCUCUCGCCUUUAGAUUGGCCCAAGUGGGAUUAGCUAGUUGGUGAGGUAAUGGCUCACCAAGGCAACGAUCCCUAGCUGGUUUGAGAGGAUGAUCAGCCACACUGGAACUGAGACACGGUCCAGACUCCUACGGGAGGCAGCAGUGGGGAAUAUUGCACAAUGGGCGAAAGCCUGAUGCAGCCAUGCCGCGUGUGUGAAGAAGGCCUUCGGGUUGUAAAGCACUUUCAGUCAGGAGGAAAGGGUGUGAGUUAAUACCUCAUAUCUGUGACGUUACUGACAGAAGAAGCACCGGCUAACUCCGUGCCAGCAGCCGCGGUAAUACGGAGGGUGCGAGCGUUAAUCGGAAUUACUGGGCGUAAAGCGUACGCAGGCGGUUUGUUAAGCGAGAUGUGAAAGCCCCGGGCUCAACCUGGGAACUGCAUUUCGAACUGGCAAACUAGAGUGUGAUAGAGGGUGGUAGAAUUUCAGGUGUAGCGGUGAAAUGCGUAGAGAUCUGAAGGAAUACCGAUGGCGAAGGCAGCCACCUGGGUCAACACUGACGCUCAUGUACGAAAGCGUGGGGAGCAAACGGGAUUAGAUACCCCGGUAGUCCACGCCGUAAACGAUGUCUACUAGAAGCUCGGAACCUCGGUUCUGUUUUUCAAAGCUAACGCAUUAAGUAGACCGCCUGGGGAGUACGGCCGCAAGGUUAAAACUCAAAUGAAUUGACGGGGGCCCGCACAAGCGGU